UUUUCAUCAGGAGAGGAUGUAUCCUCAAGAGGAGUAGGUUGCUCGAUCCGAAGAGCAAGGUCUAGAUCCAUGCAACCGAGAACGAUCAUUACAUUCUCUUUCCAUUCCUUAAAAUUUGUGCUAUUAAGCACAGGGAUGCUAUUGAUAUUGGCAGAGAUCGUAGAAGCAGAAGAAUUUACUGAAAAUAGAACAAAAGGAUUACUAAAUACAUGCUUACAAAUACUUGAACUUUAACUUUGUAGAUUCAAAAUUAGGCAUUCCCAUUACACAAGAUACCUAGCACAACAUUGAUUUUAGUUUUUGGAAAGAAAAACAACUUGUAAGUGGUACUCUUGGUGUAGUGAUCAAACAUAGACAAUAAACUCCUGCAAAUAUUAAACCUUCCUUUGGGCCGAUUUAACAUUCACAUGGAAAACCAAAUAAUCGUCUCAUAUUCAGCAUGUUCGAAUUCCUGCCAGAUAACACCUUCCUUUGGGCCGGUGUUAAACGCAUGGAAGACUAACAUCCACAGUCAUCUUAUAUUUUAAAAUUAAUCAAUCUACACAAUAGAGGUUANNN
rnacentral:lncRNA from 1 species